GCGCCGUUUCCUUCUCUCCCCGCUCCUCCUCCUCCACCAUCACCUGUUGGCUGCACAACUUGCUUCUCUCCGCUCGCCAUGGCUCCUGAGGCGGCUCCGGACGCGGGCGGGGGCUCGAAAGAAGAUUUGCUUCUCGCAGUAAUUCUGUUAGCUCAUAGACCAUCCCUCUGAUCUGCUUCAGGGAUAAUUCUGCUGUCCGUUCCUCUGGACUCAGUCCUCAUCUUACUGAAGUGAAUUCAAGAGCUCCAGUGACUACAAUUCUUCUUAAGGCUUCGCAAGUAUGGUUACAAGUCUAAAAUCCUAAAAUCUUAAAACGCUUGUUCUACCUUCCACAAUCAAAUUUGAAGUGUCAAGCUAAGGAAAUUAAAAAAAUGAUAUAAAGGUUUCUCUAACCCUGACAACCUCAAAAGAAAAUCACAAAGCGUGGAUUAAAAAUUAAUUUAAACCACAGACUGGGAAUGAACUCGGUAAGAUUUUAUGGAAAGUACCACUAAACUGUCUAAACUUAAGAAAAAUAUCCUUCCUGUAAAAUGUUUAAAUCACACCGGAAAGUACUAUCACGUGUACUGGUUUCGAAGCUCUGCUUAAAGCUUCUGAACCCUCUGUUCAGCACUGAUCAGACCAUACCUGGGAUGUCGCAUCCCAUCCUGGGCUCCACAGCGUGGGAGAAGCAUGGACAUGCUGGAGUGGGGCCUGCGAUGUGCUGCAAGGAUGAUGGCGGGACUGGAGCACCUGACACACCAGGAGAGGCUGAGAGAGCUGGAACCAUUCCAUCCAGAGAAGAGAAGGCUCGUAGGGGAUCUUUUCAGUGUGCAGAAAUACCUAACAUGGGAAAUUAAACAUAGCAGCUAAGAACUGGACCCGCUGCCAGCUGCAUCUGUAGCAAGAGUAACUUUUGGCAGCUAGAGUAUGCUGGAAUAAAAUACUCUGCCUUUAAGCAAAAAGAAGGAGAAGAAAAAAUGCUUCAUUUUAUAACUUUUUAUGACAAAAUGCUUCUUGAUCUUAAGCAUUAAGAACUGCUUUAAAAAUCCUUGGCUAGAAGUAAAAAUCCAAAUAAAAAAGCUGCUUAUAAAUCCCGUUGACCUUAAAUGAGAGGUCCUCUCUGUUUUUACAGAGAACAUAAUACUUCAAGAGUGCAAUGUAAUCCCAAAAUAAAGAUUAGCGUUGCCAAAAGAGGAAGUUUUCUUUUGGUUAGGUGUGAAGUUUUUUUGCAGUAUGCAUUAAAUGUUUUGUUUUUAUUUUAAUGCAUUUUUAUAAUGUAGAAUUUUACAUUUUUUAGUGUAAUUUUUUAAAUGGUGAAUUUUAUUCACUUUUGUUUAGAAGCUUUAUUAGUAUAUCUUCACUUUUCUUGAUUGGCGGAUUGCUGCUAUCGUUGUUUUUAAAUAGCACUGAAUUAAUGAAUGAAUUCUUAAUGUCUCAUCUAGUAGUAUUAGAAAAAAAAUCCAUUUUCUCAGGAAAUUAUGCUGAUGAUGAGCUAAAGAAACUGCUUUAGCUUAUUUCUCUUUCCUUUAGCUUGGAAAGGAUCUUCAGAAUGUCAGUGUAAUUUCUUACAAUAUCCAAGCUGUGUCAGGAAAUACCUCAUCUCCCUCAAAGGAAAUGCGAACUUUUACCAGAGUAAAUUCUAAAGAAACUUACAAAACAACUCAUUGUAUACUUGUGUAUUGUACUCUUAAUGAGUACGCCUUACUUUUCCUUUUGAGUUAUGCACCCUUACUAUUUUUAUUUUUAUUUUUAUUUUUGUGCUAAAAGAUGUAUUUGUUGUUGUGAAAGAACCCGAUCUCUGGCAGUAUUGUAGAUGUUUACGUUGUCUUCUGCCGUGGUGGUAGACCCUACAUGCUAUUAGUUUGAGCAAAACUAAUACACCCAUGUAAAACAUUAGCAUACAGAGAGUACUACAAGCUGUUUUUCUUUGCUAAGGCCCUACACACUGAAACUUGAGUUUCUAUGGCACAUUUAUCAGAACAGAUAGCUGUAUGCUUGAAUGGUGUGCCAGAGGGAGACAGCCUUGAGUCUGUGCUUGUUGAGCCUGUGCUUGCUGCCUUGCUGUGCUGUUCCAUGAGCCUGGGGGGCAGCUGCUCCCAGCCCAGCAGGAGCCGUGCCCACCCACCCAUUUAGUAGCACCUGGCUCGCACUACAGGGUCACUUCUCUCAUGCGUUCAAACUCCCCAGCUAAACCCAGGCUUGCUGCUUAAAAGGCAAGAGUCAAACACGGAGCCCAAAUGAAACAAAAGACCUAGAAAUAGUUCCAUGUUACAGUUUUGAGGGGGAUUAUGAGAGGUUUUCUGCGUAAAACUCCAAUGUGAUCUCAGAGGAUGUUUUGAAAUCCCCUACAAAUCACUUCUCACAGGAGCUGGAUUAAGACUUGCGAGGUGAAUGCAGUUACAGGCCUGUGACACAUCACAGAAGGGGAUAAAUCACAAAAUUAAACUUGAAACAUCAUGAUUAUUAUGGAAACAGCUCACUAUUGGUAUGUGGUGUGAUGCUUCGGUCAUUUGGCUCUAUUGUAGCGUUAUAACAACAAAGAUUAGAGAUGUUACUGUGAUGAACACAUAAGCUAUAUAAUCUCCCUCUGGCUUUUAGUAUUUCUGCGGAUAGCAACACUCUGAGGUAAAAAACAUGGGAACAGACAAGCCUGAGGAUUUCUGCUAAGUCAUUGUUUCUCUGAGACAGCACAACAACUAGUGGAUACCAAAAAAA